rnacentral:rRNA from 1 species
GACGAACGCUGGCGGCGUGCUUAACACAUGCAAGUCGAACGGAAAGGCCUGCUUUCCCUUGUGGAUUGCGGGUACUCGAGUGGCGAACGGGUGAGUAACACGUGAGUGAUCUGCCCCCAACUUGGGUAUAAGCCUGGGAAACUGGGUCUAAUUCCCGAUAGGACUGCAGGGUGGUGCCUGUGGUGGAAAACGAUUUUCUAGUGGUUGGGGAUGAGCUCGCGGCCUAUCAGCUUGUUGGUGGGGUAAUGGCCUACCAAGGCGGCGACGGGUAGCCGGCCUGGGAGGGUGGACGGCCACAUUGGGACUGAGAUACGGCCCAGACUCCGACGGGAGGCAGCAGUGGGGAAUAGUGCACAAUGGGCGGAAGCCUGAUGCAGCGACGCCGCGUGGGGGAUGACGGCCUUCGGGUUGUAAACUCCUUUCGACCGCGAGGAAGCCACCUGGUUGGAAGGGUGGUGACGGUAGUGGUAGAAGAAGCACCGGCUAACUACGUG